rnacentral:lncRNA from 1 species
UGGUGUUCAUAAUCGUGGUCCAGUCUUGGCUUUUAACUCUUCCCCAUCACUAACUUAUACUUGUCUUUCUAGAAUACAGGUUGUCCAGCCAACUGGUCAUUUACAGGAGAGGACUUAAACUGCUGGGCUUGCAACACAAAUUGUAAGCCCCUCAUUGUGUGGGUCACCAUGUACAUAGAAAAAAGGGCUGAGUUUCUGUCAUCUGGCAAGAAUAUCCAAUAAGCAUGCUGUUUUUCUCCAAAGAACACAUGAAAUAAGUGACAAAGAAAGAACGCAAGUGUAGAAAUAACAGCAAUAGCAACAACAACCACAGCAAAACCUGCUAUACCUCCAGCUCUUCUGGAAUCAUCUGUGCCUGAACCCAGUGGCAGAAGACCCUGGGAAACCCCGUGGUACCUUCUUCUUCCUGACCCCCCUCUUCUAGACCCUUCUUCAAGCCCUCUGGCAACUAGGACCUGCAAGGUAAGGAUGUCUGA